rnacentral:rRNA from 1 species
UACCUACGGGACGCAGCAGUGGGGAAUAUUGCACAAUGGGGGAAACCCUGAUGCAGCGACGCCGCGUGAAGGAAGAAGUAUUUCGGUAUGUAAACUUCUAUCAGCAGGGAAGAAAAUGACGGUACCUGACUAAGAAGCCCCGGCUAACUACGUGCCAGCAGCCGCGGUAAUACGUAGGGGGCAAGCGUUAUCCGGAUUUACUGGGUGUAAAGGGAGCGUAGACGGCUGGGCAAGUCUGAAGUGAAAUGCCGGGGCCCAACCCCGGAACUGCUUUGGAAACUGUACAGCUAGAGUGCAGGAGGGGG